CCAUACAUGUUUGAUUAGAUAUUUAUGCUUAUGAGAACUGCAUGCUAGAUUAGGAUUAAGGAUCUAGGAGGAUACCUUAUGUGCCUAUUAUGUGUAUGAGCCUUAUGAGUUGUGUAACAACUCAAAUUUUCAAACAAAAUUUUUCAUUUUUAAAAUAUAAAUAUUUCCAUUAAAAACCAAGGCAUAAGCAGUUUAAUUAUUCAGUCAAUACAAUUAUUCAAACUCCCAAGAUCAUGAAACAUUCUUCAGUGUGUAUCGAUCAUGCCGGCGCCUUCCCACGGUCCUCGCUAGUACCUGAAACACAUACAUACAUAACAACUGUAAGCAUAAAUGCUUAGUGAGUUCCCCAAUAUACAACUUACGCACAUACGCCUUUCCAGGCCCGACCUUCCGGUCCAUGUGUCUCAGGGGACUUCCGUCCCUGCUGGGUAAACCUUCCGGCCUUACCCACGCCGACCUUCCGGUCCAUCACACAUCCUCCGGUCCAUGUGUCUCAGGGGACUUCCGUCCCUGCUGGGUAAACCUUCCGGCCUUACCCACGCCGACCUUCCGGUCCAUCACACAUCAUAUCGCCUUCCGGCCCAUAAUACAUAGCACAUAUAACAUAUAACAUACCACAUAUAGCAUACAUAUCACAUAUCAUAUCCGACCUUCCGGUCACACAGUCAAACCCUUCCGGGUACAGUAUAGUGAGAAGACUCACCUCGUAAGUGCUGAAAGCUAGCAACUCCUGAAAUCACUCGCGCACAAACCAACGAGCUACAACCCUCCUAUAACAUUACAUAACUCAUUAACACUCAUAUCAGCUAAGUGUGACUAUCCCUAAGAAGUCAGACUUAGGUCAACUCUGGUCAACGGUCAACGGUCAACUCGACUGGACUCGGCGAGUACCAUGGCGACUCGGCGAGUCUAGUCGUCCUCACAGAUUCCUGAAUAUUCCCUUUCUACUCGUCGAGUAUACCUCUCGACUCGACGAGGUCCUCGUGGAAGAAUCGCGGGGCUACCCCGACUCCACUCGCCGAGUCUGAUGAACAACUCGGCGAGUCCCAGCACAUCUUCAAGCUACUCGCCGAGUCUGAAGAACAACUCGGCGAGUCCAUGCCAUGCAGACGAGUAACUGCUUCCUGAGAUAGGUCUCGUCCCGAAGUACACAUGCAUGGGACCUUCUGGACCUCUAAAGGUCCUAAUACAAGACUAUAAUCGUGGGGUAACAAGGCAUUUCUUCAUCAAAUCACUAAAUGGGUUCUAUAAACCCUAAUUUCAUAAAUACAUCAAAAUAACAGAUUUGGUCCGAGUAUUACCUGAAAACGCACUCUCUGUGUCCCCCAAAUCUCAGGACUCAAUCCUCCUUGAUAUUCCUUUAGCCAAAUCCCUCUUCUUCUUGCCUAACCAAUUCUUCCAAGUUCCAAAGCUUUCUCCCUUGCUCUAGGCGUCCACAGCGAUUAGGGUUCCUCUCAAUUGACCAAAAGACUGAAAAUGACGGCCUAAGAGGCGUUAAAUACGAUCCAAACUGAACGGUUAGGGUUUCUGCUGAACAGCGUCGACUCGCCGAGUCCAUAUCUGGACUCGUCGAGUCCAGUCGCGGACCCGCGACCAAGUCCGCGAUCCUACUCGGCGAGUCUAGGCUCCAACUCGCCGAGUCCCCUCUUAAAUCACCCCAAAAACAUAAUUUUAAUAAUACCUGAGAUUCCGGGCUGUUACAAUUCUCCCCCACUUGGAUUAGACUUCGCCCUCGAAGUCUCAUUCUGCAAAUAGUUCCGGAUGCUGCUCCCGCAUUUCGCGCUCCGGUUCCCAAGUCAUUUCUGAUCCCUUACGGUGUUGCCAUUGAACCAACACCAGAGGUACUUCCUUGUUCCUCAGAACCUUGAUCUUCCGAUCCCUGAUAGCCACUGGUCUCUCCGCGUAAUUCAGGCUCGCAUCCACCUGAAUAUCCUCCAAUGGAACCACUGCCGACUCAUCGGCUAUGCACUUCCUCAACUGCGACACAUGAAAAGUGUCAUGGAUCUGACCCAACUCCGCUGGCAACUCCAACCGGUAGGCUACCCGACCUAUCCUUGCAAUCACACGAAAUGGCCCAAUAUACCGGGGCCCCAACUUGCCUCUCUUCCUGAACCGAAUCACUCCUUUCCAAGGAGAGACCUUCAGGAGAACGAAGUCGCCGACUUGAAAUUCAAGCUCGGAUCGGCGCCUGUCUGCAUAACUCUUCUGUCGGCUCUGGGCAGUCAAUAAUCUUUGUCUCACUUGUUGAAUCUGCUCUGUCGUCUGGAGUAUGAUCUCCGUGCUGCCCAUCACUCUCUGUCCCACCUCUCCCCAGCAAAUGGGAGUCCGACACCUCCUACCAUACAACAGCUCGAAAGGCGGCAUACCAAUGCUCGAAUGAUGGCUGUUGUUGUAGGAAAACUCUGCCAAUGGUAAAUACGCAUCCCAACUACCCCCGAAGUCUAACACACACGCUCGGAGCAUGUCCUCCAGUGUCUGAAUUGUCCGCUCGCUCUGACCGUCUGUCUGGGGAUGGUAUGCGGUACUAAAAUGCAAUUUAGUACCCAGCUCCUCAUGGAAUUUCUUCCAGAAUCUGGAAGUAAAGCGCACAUCACGGUCUGACACAAUCGAGAUCGGCACCCCGUGCCGAGAUACCACCUCUCUCACGUAUAUCUCCGCCAAUUUCUCCGCCGAAGAACUCUCACUGAUGGCAAGGAAGUGUGCACUCUUUGUCAACCUAUCCACGAUCACCCAAAUUGCGUCUACUCCCCUAGCAGUCCUCGGCAAUUUGGUGAUAAAAUCCAUAGUAAUCUGUUCCCACUUCCACUCGGGGAUCUCCAAUGGCUGUAACUUGCCAUGCGGUCUCUGGUGCUCAGCCUUAACCCUACGGCAGGUCAAGCACCUCUCAACGAACCAUGCCACGUCCCUCUUCAUACAGGGCCACCAAUAUUCCUUCCUUAAAUCCAAAUACAUCUUUGUAGCACCGGGAUGGAUCGAGAAUUUCGAUUUAUGAGCCUCUUCCAUCAACGUAAUACGCGUACCGCCCACGAACGGCACCCAAAUCCGACCCUGAAACGUCAUAAGGCCUCGACUAUCCUUGACAAACUCUGAGAUUAACCCCACAACCCGCUCUUUCUUCUGCAUUUCUGGUCGCACAGCCUCAGCCUGGGCCCCACGAAUAGCGUCCAAUACUGGAGUCAUCACAGUCAGUCUCAAGCAUACGUCUCGCAAUGGAGUGCUCUCCGCCCUGCGGCUCAAUGCAUCGGCUACCACAUUAGCCUUGCCUGGGUGGUACAGGAUCUCACAAUCAUAAUCCUUGACCACAUCCAACCACCUCCUCUGACGCAUAUUUAGGUUGGGUUGAUCCAUCAAAUACUUCAAACUCUUAUGGUCCGUGUAUAUCGUACAUCGAACCCCAUACAAGUAGUGACGCCAAAUCUUGAGAGCGAACACUACUGCCCCCAACUCUAAAUCAUGCGUGGGAUAUCUCGCCUCAUGAGGCUUCAGCUGCCUCGACGCAUAAGCUAUCACAUGACCCCUCUGCAUUAACACUGCACCCAAUCCCGAAAUCGAUGCGUCGCAAUAUACCACGAAAUCUUCCAUCCCUUCUGGGAGAGCUAAUACCGGGGCUUCGCACAAUCUCUGGCGAAGUGUCUCAAAGGAGGUCUGCUGCUCGGGCCCCCAUGAGAAUGUAACACCCUUCCGGGUCAAUCUGGUGAGUGGCACUGCGAUCUUGGAGAAAUCCUUGAUAAAUCUCCGAUAAUACCCUGCCAACCCAAGGAAACUUCUGAUCUCAGAGGGUGACUUCGGCACCUCCCAACUCAUCACCGCCUCAACCUUGGCCGGAUCGACCAAUAUCCCUUUCUGAUUAACCACAUGUCCUAGAAACUGGACUUCCCGCAACCAGAAGUCACAUUUGGAGAACUUUGCAUAAAGUUUCUCCGACCUCAAUACCUCAAGGACCUCCCUCAAAUGCUCCUCAUGCUGCUCUCUCGAUCUCGAAUACACCAGAAUGUCGUCGAUAAAUACGAUCACCGACCGAUCCAACAUCGGCCUGCAUACCCUGUUCAUGAGAUCCAUGAACACAGCCGGGGCAUUGGUGAGUCCAAAAGGCAUCACCACAAACUCAUAAUGCCCAUAUCGCGUCCUAAACGCUGUCUUCUGGACGUCUUCAUCCCGUACUCUCACCUGAUGGUAUCCUGACCUCAGAUCGAUCUUGGAAAACCAAGAUGCUCCCUGCAACUGAUCGAAUAAAUCAUCGAUCCUCGGCAACGGGUAACGGUUCUUGACCGUUAGCUUGUUCAACUCCCGGUAAUCAAUGCACAUCCGGUGUGAACCAUCCUUCUUUUUGACGAACAGAAUAGGUGCUCCCCAUGGCGAGCUGCUCGGCCGAAUGAAUCCCUUUCCCAGCAACUCCUGGAGUUGCGAGGACAACUCUUGCAUCUCUGGAGGUGCAAGACGAUAGGGCACUUUGGCAAUAGGCGCUGCCCCCGGAACCAGAUCGAUACUAAACUCUACUUGCCUCACAGGCGGUACUCCCGGCAACUCCUCGGGAAAGACAUCUGAAAACUCGCGCACCACCGGAACUUCCUCAACUGACUUCGGUUUCUCAGAAACCUCCCGCGUAUCCAUCACAUACGCCACGAAACCCUUACAGCCCUGACGUAGACACUGCCUCGCCCUAGCGGCCGAACAAAAAGCUGAUCCCGAACGGGUACCCUCGCCGUAUACCGAAAGAACUCCCCCACUUGGGUCUCGUAUAGUCACCAACUGACGCUCACAGUCGAUGACAGCGCCGAACCGGCUCAACCAGUCCAUGCCCACGAUGACACAGACAUCCCCCAUCGCGAUAGGAAUCAGGUCAAUCGGGAAUCCAACCCCGAAAAUCUCUAGUACACAUCCCCGAAGAACCUCCGUAGCACAAAUCACCUUCUCGUCAGCUAUAGAGACUCUCAAAGGUCGACUCAACGACUCACGACUAACGCCAAUAUGCUGACUAAAGGCCAAGGACACAAAGGACCUACUCGCACCCGAGUCAAAUAACACUAAGGCAGGCACAGAGUUCACAAGGAAAGUACCUACGCGCAUAAUAACAUAAGCAUAACAUAUCGACAUUAAAAUAAUUACAUGAAUUACAACAUACCUGCCACAACAUCGGGCGCAGCGCGGACCUCUUCCGCUGUCAGCUGAAAGGCUCUUCCCCGAGCCCUCGGGGCCUCGGCCUUCACCGGUCGAGUCGCAGUAACUCCGGCAGCAGGUGCAGAUCCCUGAAGAAGCUGAGGGCACUCGGCCUUCCUAUGGCCAGUCUGGUUGCAAUGAAAGCAAACCGAAAAUCCCUUGGGGCACUCCCUAGCAAUGUGCCCCUCCUUGCCACACUUGUAGCAAGCACCAGAUCGACAUACUCCAUCAUGACUCUUGCCGCACUUCCCGCAAGUGCGACCCUUCGAACCUCCUGUCCUCGAAUCAGCGGACUUGGUCCGCUUGGCUGCCGGCUGGAACUGAGCCGGUCGCCGAUCCACCCGCUGAGACUCGGCCUCCUCCCUAGCCUGGGUCUCCAACUCGAUCUCGCGCUUCCUGGCAUUCGCCUGAAGCUCAGCAAAAGUAUGGUAAGUGGAGUUUGACACAAACUCCCGAAUAUCCCUCCUCAAGACACCCAAGUAUCGGCUCAUCCGAGCCUGCUCUGAGGACACCAGCUCAGGGCAAAACAUCGCCCUCUCAUGAAACUUCCGUGUAAUCACCGCAACAGAAUCGGUACCCUGCUUGAGGGUUAAGAACUCCUGCACCAAUCGUUCCCUCUCCACCGGGGGAACGUACUCAUCCCUGAACAUGGCAGUAAACCCCUCCCAUGUCACCGCUGUAGUCUCUGCCAAAGUGAAAUUCGCUGUCACGAACUUCCACCAGUCCUUCGCUCCCAGACGGAGCUGGUUCAAAGCGAACCGUACCCUCAGGUGCUCCGGGCAUGAACAAGUAUAGAAGCACCCCUCUAUAUCUGCGAUCCACCUCAUCGCAGCAAUCGGAUCCUGCGUCCCAUCGAACUCUGGUGGCUUCGUGUUGCUGAACUCUCGGAACAGCAAUGAAUCACCCCCCUGUGGCCUAGCAGCGGCCACAGCUGCGGUAGCUGCAGCGGUUGCAGCCUCAGUCAAUGCGGCGUACCGCUCGUCGAACGUCUCCAUCAGGGUGGUCUUGAUAGACCCAAACAUCUCCGGGAUCUCAGCCCGGAUCGCCGCCGCCACCUCCUCGUGGAUCAUCUGACGAAUAUCCUCGUCACUCACACCGCUCGUACUCGCCCCGUGCCGCGGUCUAACCAUGAUAUCUCUGAAAUACAACAUAAAACUAUCAGAGAUUCUACCGAGUAUAAUCGUACUCGACACGCAACCCUACUCAGUCCCAGAUAUCCAGGGAUUCUUACUUGGGCCUCCCACUGACCCGGUGUCCUCGGUAGUACGGGCCCAAUACUACCGACCACACCGCAUCAAUGUUCAUCCCAAGUCCUCCUCCCCAAACUCCAGAUAGUGAGUACUCUACUUCUGAUACGCUCUAUCUACCCGCAUACUAGCAAAGCAUCUCAUAUAAGCAACUUCCCUAGACUAAGGCAUCACAAAUCAGGCCACUCUAGUCCUAUCAUGAAUACCUAGUCUUCUAGCAUGCAUAACAAUUCAUAUCAUAUAAUAUUGUAAGGUAUUUUGGGGAUCUUUACCGUUCGGGCGCUGACUGAUCGUACACACUGCUUCUUUCUUGCUUACCACAAAACCAUUUACAAAAGUUUAUGCCUUUAUUUGAAAAGUUUCCUCAAAUCCUCGGUUUGAGUUCAGUUACCCCCGAAGGUGCACCCGAAUCCCUCAAACCAAGGCUCUGAUACCAAUUGUAACAACUCAAAUUUUUCAAACAAAUUUUUCAUUUUUAAAACAUAAUUAUUUCCAUUAAAAACAAGGCAUAAACAGUUUAAUUAUUCGGUCAAUACAAUUAUUCAAACUCCCAAGAUCAUAAAACAAUCUUCAGUGUGUAUCGAUCAUGCCGGCGCCUUCCCACGGUCCUCGCUAGUACCUGAAAUACAUGCACAACAACUGUAAGCAUAAAUGCUUAGUGAGUUCCCCAAUAUACACUUACGCACAUACGCCUUUCCAGGCCCUGACCUUCCGGUCCUCAUUACAACGCCUUCCGGCCCAUAACAUAAUCGCCUUCCGGCCCAUAACAUAUUGCCUUCCGGCCCACAUAUCAUACAUAGCACAUAUAACACUUAACUUACCACAUAUAGCAUACAUAUCCAUAUAACACUUAACUUACCACUUAUAGCAUACAUAUCCAUAUAACACUUAACUUACCACUUAUAGCAUAUAAACAUAAUACAUAACAUACUUGACCUUCCGGUCACACAGUCAAACCCUUCCGGGUACAGUAUAGUGAGAAGACUCACCUCGUAAGUGCUGAAAGCUAGCAACUCCUGAAAUCACUCGCGCACAAACCAACGAGCUACAACCCUCCUAUAACAUUACAUAACUCAUUAACACUCAUAUCAUCUAAGUGUGACUAUCCCUAAGAAGUCAGACUUAGGUCAACUCUGGUCAACGGUCAACGGUCAACUCGACUGGACUCGGCGAGUACCAUGGCGACUCGGCGAGUCUAGUCGUCCUCACAGAUUCCUGAAUAUUCCCUUUCUACUCGUCGAGUAUACCUCUUGACUCGACGAGGUCCUCGUGGAAGAAUCGCGGGGCCACCCCGACUCCACUCGCCGAGUCUGAUGAACAACUCGGCGAGUCCCAGCACAUCUUCAAGCUACUCGCCGAGUCUGAAGAACAACUCGGCGAGUCCAUGCCAUGCAGACGAGUAACUGCUUCCUGGGAUAGGUCUCGUCCCGAAGUACACAUGCAUGGGACCUUCUGGACCUCUAAAGGUCCUAAUACAAGACUAUAAUCGUGGGGUAACAAGGCAUUUCUUCAUCAAAUCACUAAAUGGGUUCUAUAAACCCUAAUUUCAUAAAUACAUCAAA
rnacentral:lncRNA from 1 species